UUGAACGCUGGCGGCAGGCCUAACACAUGCAAGUCGAGCGCGAAAGGUUUUCGGACUGAGUAAAGCGGCGGACGGGUGAGUAACGCGUGGGAAUCUGCCCAGUAGUGGGGGACAACAGUCGGAAACGACUGCUAAUACCGCAUACGCCCUACGGGGGAAAGGGGGGGAUCUUCGGACCUCUCGCUAUUGGAUGAGCCCGCGUCGGAUUAACUAGUUGGUAGGGUAAAGGCCUACCAAGGCUACGAUCCGUAACUGGUCUGAGAGGAUGAUCAGUCACACUGGAACUGAGACACGGUCCAGACUCCUACGGGAGGCAGCAGUGGGGAAUAUUGGACAAUGGGGGCAACCCUGAUCCAGCCAUGCCGCGUGUGUGAAGAAGGCCUUAGGGUUGUAAAGCACUUUCAGUGGGGAGAAAGGUUUGUCACCUAAUACGUGAUGAAAUUGAUGUUACCCACAGAAGAAGCACCGGCUAACUCCGUGCCAGCAGCCGCCGUAA
rnacentral:rRNA from 1 species